rnacentral:lncRNA from 1 species
GAUGUUUUUAGACAUACUUCAUGUCACAAUCCAUCAACGGUCUUUGAAGUUGUCUAUCUUGCCUACCAGGCCCAGGGUCCAGUUAGCUUGAGCUUGGCAGCUUCGCGUUUUUAAUAUUUUGAAAAACUUAUCAGCUUGCCGUAGGCUAUCAUAUGUGACGUUAGCAUGGCCAUCACAUUUUACAAAGAGAAUCGAAUGAACAGCAAUAGCUUGUUAUCUCUCUUCUGACGGUGCUUAUCAUUAAAUCAGGAUCCAAUCCCGGCCAAAAAAGACACCACGGAAAAUCAACACAUUUAUAAAGGAGCUUUUGAAGUGAACGGAGAAAGGAACGCUGACUGUAGCAAAUUACCUGGGCUGAAACAUUUUUGACAUAAGUCCUAAAAUGCGGGUGAGCCACUUCUCCUGGAGGCUCCGCCGGGAGCGUUUCAUCUCAGGCCAUGAGAGGCAGCAUUGCUGAAAGAGUGACGGGACAGCUGGACAAGCUUCCAGACGGCCCGUGCAAAGCGCCAGGAUGAUGGCAGCAGGGGGCAGCUGAAAGGGUUUGGGCUUGGCAGAGAUGCAGGAUUGGUUGACAGUCAGGCACUUGCUGGUGACAGAGCAGCGGAGCUUCUAUCUCUUUGAACUUUGUUUUGGAUUAACUUCUGUACCCGAGCUCCCUGAUAAGGCCCGAAAAAAGAAAAAAAGUCCAUCCUCAAGAAGCCAACAAGCGUGGAUCCUGUUGGUUUCAUUUAUUGAGUUUUCAGCAGCAUUGGAAUUUGUUCAGCAACAUUAUGUUAGGCCACUAUUGACUGGUGUUAUCUUUGCCAUGAUAUCACAAUAAUAUAGCUUUUUUCUUUCUCUUUGUAAAUACAUCUUUCAUCAUCGCAUCUUAUUUUUCUUCUUAAGUGCGCAUGUGGUUUUUUACAGAGACUUUAAUGUGUGUUAUGAGCUACAUUCAACAGAUAAAAACUACAAAGCGUAUGUAAAAAGAACUCUUUUGAUAGCCUGCCUGUGUGCAUUUGAUCUCAAGCCAUUUGAAUUUGUCAGCGUUAGUCGUUUCAGUGAAAUGUACAGGCCUGAGGGGUUGUACUCUGGCAGAAGGGAAAUCACACGAAAUUUUAUUUUGAUGUUGGUUUAUAAAAAAAAAAAACAAGACUAUGGUUCAUAUGUUUCAGCUUCUGUUGUGUAAAUAAUGCGCUCUUGACAAAAGGAG